rnacentral:rRNA from 1 species
GGGUGUGACGCCUGCCCGGUGCCGGAAGAUUAAAUGAUGGGGUGCAAGCUCUUGAUUGAAGUCCCGGUAAACGGCGGCCGUAACUAUAACGGUCCUAAGGUAGCGAAAUUCCUUGUCGGGUAAGUUCCGACCUGCACGAAUGGCGUAACGAUGGCCACACUGUCUCCUCCCGAGACUCAGCGAAGUUGAAGUGUUUGUGAUGAUGCAAUCUACCCGCGGCUAGACGGAAAGACCCCAUGAACCUUUACUGUAGCUUUGCAUUGGACUUUGAACCGAUCUGUGUAGGAUAGGUGGGAGGCUAUGAAACCGGAACGCUAGUUUCGGUGGAGCCGUCCUUGAAAUACCACCCUGGUUUGUUUGAGGUUCUAACCUUGGCCCGUGAUCCGGGUCGGGGACAGUGCAUGGUAGGCAGUUUGACUGGGGCGGUCUCCUCCCAAAGCGUAACGGAGGAGUACGAAGGUACGCUAGGUACGGUCGGAAAUCGUGCUGAUAGUGCAAUGGCAUAAGCGUGCUUAACUGCGAGACCGACAAGUCGAGCAGGUGCGAAAGCAGGUCAUAGUGAUCCGGUGGUUCUGUAUGGAAGGGCCAUCGCUCAACGGAUAAAAGGUACUCUGGGGAUAACAGGCUGAUACCGCCCAAGAGUUCAUAUCGACGGCGGUGUUUGGCACCUCGAUGUCGGCUCAUCUCAUCCUGGGGCUGUAGCCGGUCCCAAGGGUAUGGCUGUUCGCCAUUUAAAGAGGUACGUGAGCUGGGUUUAAAACGUCGUGAGACAGUUUGGUCCCUAUCUGCCGUGGGCGUUGGAUAUUUGAAGGGGGCUGCUCCUAGUACGAGAGGACCGGAGUGGACGAACCUCUGGUGUACCGGUUGUCACGCCAGUGGCAUCGCCGGGUAGCUAUGUUCGGAAGAGAUAACCGCUGAAAGCAUCUAAGCGGGAAACUCGCCUUAAGAUGAGAUAUCCCUGGGGACUAGAUCCCCUUGAAGGGUCGUUCGAGACCAGGACGUUGAUAGGUCAGGUGUGUAAGCGCAGUAAUGCGUUCAGCUAACUGAUACUAAUUGCCCGUAAGGCUUGAUCCUAUAACA